UUGAAACAUCAGUACUUCCCUGAUCACUGAAGUUAAGCAAUUUUGUGCCUGGUUAGUACCUAGAUGGGUAACUGCUUAGGAACAUCUGGUGCUGUAAG